rnacentral:rRNA from 1 species
AACGAACGCUGGCGGUAUGCUUAACACAUGCAAGUCGGACGGUAGCCGCUUCGGUGGCGAGAGUGGCGGACGGGUGAGUAACGCGUAGGAAUCUGCCUGUUAGUGGGGGACAACUUAGGGAAACUUAAGCUAAUACCGCAUACGCUCCUUGUUGAAAGACGGGGAGGAAAGCGGGGGACCGCAAGGCCUCGCGCUAACAGAUGAGCCUGCGUGGGCUUAGCUGGUUGGCGGGGUAAGGGCCCACCAAGGCGACGAGCCCUAGCUGGUCUGAGAGGACGACCAGCCACACGGGGACUGAGACACGGCCCAGACUCCUACGGGAGGCAGCAGUGGGGAAUAUUGGGCAAUGGGCGCAAGCCUGACCCAGCAAUACCGCGGGUGUGAAGAAGGCCCGAGGGUUGUAAAGCACUUUCAAUGGGGAGGAAAAAGGCAAGGCGAACACCCUUGCCCUUGACAUUACCCAUACAAGAAGCACCGGCUAACUCCGUGCCAGCAGCCGCCGUAAAAC